UACGUAGGGUGCGAGCGUUGUCCGGAAUUAUUGGGCGUAAAGAGCUCGUAGGCGGUCUGUCGCGUCUGCUGUGAAAACCCGAGGCUCAACCUCGGGCCUGCAGUGGGUACGGGCAGACUAGAGUGCGGUAGGGGAGACUGGAAUUCCUGGUGUAGCGGUGAAAUGCGCAGAUAUCAGGAAGAACACCCGUGGCGAAGGCGGCUCUCUGGAACGCAACUGACGCUGAGACGCGAAAGCGUGGGGAGCAAACAGG
rnacentral:rRNA from 1 species